AUGGCUGGGAGGCACACCAUUAUUCUGAUGCAACCAUCCCAAAACAGGAGCUCCAGGACGUUCAUGGAUUAUAAUUCAAUUAACCAUGCAUUGGAUGGAAUCUGUGGUCUCUAUGAAAGGAAAAUCAGGGAUAUCAACCCAAUGAUCCCGAACAUAACCUAUGACAUCACCGACCUGUACAACUUCAUCGACGGCCUAGCUGACAUCAGUGCGCUAGUCUAUGAUCACGAAAUCCAUGCGUUUCUGCCAUAUGACCGGCAGUGGAUAAAGCAGAAGCUGUUUCAGCACCUUAAGAAGCUGGCUCAAAGAUAG
rnacentral:rRNA from 1 species